AGCCGCCCCGGUAAUACGGAGGAUGCGAGCGUUAUCCGGAUUUAUUGGGUUUAAAGGGUGCGCAGGCGGAGGUGCAAGUCAGCGGUCAAAUUACGGGGCUCAACCCCGUACUGCCGUUGAAACUGCAUCCCUUGAGUGCGCGAGAAGUAUGCGGAAUGCGUGGUGUAGCGGUGAAAUGCAUAGAUAUCACGCAGAACGCCGAUUGCGAAGGCAGCUUACCGGCGCUCAACUGACGCUGAGGCACGAAAGUGCGGGUAUCGAACAGGAUUAGAUACCCUGGUAGUCCGCACAGUAAACGAUGAAUGCUAGAUGUCCGGGGCGAAUGAGCUCUGGGUGUCACAGCGAAAGCGUUAAGCAUUCCACCUGGGGAGUACGCCGGCAACGGUGAAACUCAAAGGAAUUGACGGGGGCCCGCACAAGCGGAGGAACAUGUGGUUUAAUUCGAUGAUACGCGAGGAACCUUACCCGGGCUCAAACGCCUCAGGAAUCAUAUGUGAAAGCAGAUGAGUCUUCGGACCUGAGGCGAGGUGCUGCAUGGUUGUCGUCAGCUCGUGCCGUGAGGUGUCGGCUUAAGUGCCAUAACGAGCGCAACCCCCACCGACAGUUGCUAACUGGUUAAGCAGAGGACUCUGCACGGACUGCCGGCGCAAGCCGCGAGGAAGGCGGGGAUGACGUCAAAUCAGCACGGCCCUUACGUCCGGGGCGACACACGUGUUACAAUGGGUGGUACAGCGGGAAGCCAGGCGGCGACGCCGAGCGGAACCCGAAAUCCACUCUCAGUUCGGAUCGGAGUCUGCAACCCGACUCCGUGAAGCUGGAUUCGCUAGUAAUCGCGCAUCAGCCAUGGCGCGGUGAAUACGUUCCCGGGCCUUGUACACACCGCCCGU
rnacentral:rRNA from 1 species